CCGGCCAUUGAUGCCUUCCACCACCGCCUUAGCUGGCACGACCAAUAACGUCCAAACACGUGGGCGUAUCUUAGCCCGUCAAAACUAGCACCGCUUUAAUCGGGCCGUCCAUGUUUUCCAAGCGGUCCAUAAAUACCUAGCGCCUCUCCUAGUUUCUUCCAUCGCUGGGGCGUCUGAUCGUGUUUGAGGCUGGUUGUGGAUGUCCGUUCAUACUCGUAUCGUUUGGUUUUUAACUUUAGUUUUGUAGAGCUUUUUUUUUUCUGGUGAUUUUUUUUCAUUUUGUAUGUUUUUAGUUUGCUUUUGAUUAGGCUUUUUUAUUAACCUGAUUUUAUUAUGAAUAGUUGAUUAGCUUGUGAAUCUGUCUAUUUGUUGGGGGAUUAAACUUUUUAUGUGGAUCUGUAUUUUUUUUUUUGGUGUAAGUUUUAUGUUUUAGUUCUUAAAUUCGUAUAAAUAUUUCUUCCAGGUUGUAAAUAAUUAUGCUGCUCUGGUUCAUUUCGUCUGAAGUUCUUUUGCUCUGUUUCGCGAUCUAUAAUUUUUUAUUUACUAUUAAUUUUUCUUUACUUAAAAAAUGCUUCUGAUUUUGUAUAUAUUUUGAACUCAACGCGAACCGACAUCUCUUCCUGUUUUCCUCCUCCUCUGCGAUUUUUGUGAAAGUUUUGCAAUUUUUUUGUGAUUGAUUUCGUUAGUUCUCUGUUCUGACACCGAUUUAGUUGCCGAUCUACGCAUCUUGGGCUGUUUUAGGUCUGGCGAUCUUCUUUUCCCCCUCUAUUUUGUCCGCUAUAUCAUCUUCAGGUCUGCUGCAGCCGAUCUACGCCCGAUGGAUGAGCCUCUGGACACAGGAAGCCAGGAUCGAGACUUUUUGUUUCAGAUCUACGGGAUUGGUUGAGAUCUAGUUGAGAGCGCGAUUCUUUGUUGCAGAUCUGUGUUGCUAAGGUGUGAUCGUGGCGAUCUUCGUCUUCCACAUCGUCGUCCUGUGAUCGGAUGUAAAACAAAUAAGAGCAAAUGGAAGCCUGGGAUCUACAUGGAGGGGAAAGGUAAGGGUCGGGGGAAAACUUCUCUUUUAGAUCUGUUGUCGUUGUUAACCGACCUUUGCCAUGUUGGGUGCGCUCGCAUGGCAGGUCACCAGACCCUAAUAAAAAUUUUAUUUUUUCGUGUUGUUAGGGGAGAUCGCACGGGGUGGUUUUUUUUUUGCCCCGGGUUCUCCCCUUCUGAUGUCUUUUCUUUUUCCCUUUUCUUCCCUUUCUCCUCUCCCCAUUUUCUAACUUCCUCCCAAACUACAUCGCCAUCAUAUUUGCCUAUAUUUCAUCGUCAACUUAUCAUAACGAAAGCAUCCAUGGGAGCUCUACGGUGGUCGUCAUCAACCUGCGAACUAUGAGGUACAAGUGAACUAAUAUCUAAUGUCACUUUUACAAGGAAAAGAAGCGUAUUAUAUAAUUUAUUUUACUGAAUAAUUUAUUUCAGCCAAUUUUUUGGAUAAUCAGCAUGUGAAAUGUAUGAAUAUCGAAGUAACUAACACGUCUGAUCUGAGUUUAAUGCACUCUACCCAAAAGCAGAUUUUAGCAUGCAAUUCACUCGUUAAUUUAUUUCUUCCAGUUUAUUCAUCACGUAUCAUUAUAAAAAUGAUCAAUCAAAGGUGUUACAUCCUAUUGCAAUUCUUCAAUUUAUUUCCUCCAGUUUUUUCAUCAGGUAUCAUUAUAAAAAUGAGCAAUCAAAGGUGUUACAUACUUCUUGCAAUUCUUUAAUCACAUCAGACCUGCCAUUCUUGAAUCACUUCUGUUGUGGUCUAAUAUGAUGCGAUCUAUCCUUCGGGAAAAUGCCCAUGUUAAUUACGAAAGCAAAGCUUGAUCAUAUUUUUGCUAUGCCAGCAAUCGUGCCAUGCAAAUAAUAUUAGUUUGUAGUGGUUUCAAUGAGAUCUUGCAGAGUCUUGCUCUACUUUUUUAUUCGUACAUGCAUGAGUCUUUACUGUUAUUUGUUUUUGGUCGAACUAUAGUUGACCUUAUGAAAUCUAGUUAUUGUUCUGUUGUAAAAUGUGUUAUUUUCUGUAGAAGGGAGAUUGUGUGUAGUGUUAGCCUCUUGGAGGCAAUUGUGCGUACAUGUUCGGAUCCUUGGUGAGCGUCUGUGUAUGGUAGUAUUGUGUUAUGGUCGCCGGAUUUGGCUGCUCGAGUUCGAGGCAAAUCUCUGCAACAGCCAGACACUUCAGGGGAGACUUUUGGAGUCAAGAUGCUGUCAGCAACUCUGACCUUAAGUGGCGUGCCUCAGCUGAACGACGGGAUCUUCUGGUGGUGCAAAAAAAAAAUAAAAAAUAAAAAACGGCGAAUGCUCUUGAGAGCACAAUAUUUAGAUGGCAGCAGCUACAACUACUCCGCUCAGAGUCCGUGUGUGUUGAGGUAUUUCUGACUUUAGUGGGUGAGCUUCAGCUUGUGCCGACCGACCAUUGCUGUUCUAUAGCAAAGCACGGGAUUUUCUGAAAGCUUUCCAUUUUGUUCCAUCCAGCAUGUUCUACACCCUCAUUGUUGCUAUUCCAUGCGAAAUCUAUUUUUUGUUGUCCUAGCAAUGGUGGAAUGUGCAUGUGGAUGUUGUUGCGGUAUUGGUGGCUUUUGCAUGAAGGGCAAGGGAUUCUCCUGGAAGUAUGGUAAUCAACUUUCUAUAAGUUUCAAGCUAUUUCUUUUUUAGCCGUGUUCUAAUUUGGAGGUCAGUUAAGUGGUAGUUUGGAAUGAUGAUUUUAGUUCGAUUAUGCAGUAUAUGGCUAAUUUAUUUUAUCAUGGUUGUGAAAGUGUAAUCUGAUGGACUAAUUUGUGUUAUAUUUAAUUGGAUGUAUGCGGCCUUUA